CUGGAGAACCACCGCACUGACUCUAACUGCUAUCCUAUUCCCAGCAGCAGGAAUAUGGUUUAUAGGUAUAUUUUUGCGCAGUGUUGAUAGAUUUAACGAAGAUAAUGAAGUGCAAAGGUCAAACACCACUCCAUUGCUUAAAGAGAAUAAUAAUACUGAAGAUACAUCACCAUCUGCUCCUCCUCCUCCUCAACACCAACAAUGUUGAUUCCCUUAUAUUUUCUUAGUGUUUAUACGGCCACCGUUCAACUGUAUAUAGCAUUCGUUUUAUUCUUUUAACACUUAAAACCUCUUUUUUGGUUGUGCUAAAGGAAAAGGAACAUACCAAGAUUCAAUGUUAUAAUGUAUCAUUGGUGUGUGAUAUU